GCCGGGGUCGCCUAGCCUGGUAGGGCGCGCGCCUGGAAAUCAGCGACCAUACAGCGCGUUCUCGCAAGGGAUCGGGAGUUCGAAUCUCCCUCCCGGCG
rnacentral:tRNA from 1 species